rnacentral:misc_RNA from 1 species
AUCAUUAGUGAUUAAUUAUUGAGUGAUAAAAAACUCAUAAUCUUCUACAAACCACUGUUUUAAAAUGUUUACUAGAAUGUCCAAGCAGUUAAGCUGUUGAAAUAUUAAAAGUUUUAUAAAACUUUCAGCAACGGAUCUCUUGGUUCAGGCAUCGAUGAAGAACGCAGCGAAAUGCGAUAAGUAAUGUGAAUUGCAGAUACAGUGAAUCAUCGAAUCUUUGAACGCAAAUGGCACUCUAUGGUAUUCCGUAGAGUACGUCUGUUUGAGCGUCGCGAACAUCUCCAUAAUUAGUUUUUCUAAUUAAGGGUUUUGAGGUUGUCAUUGUAUUAUGACUCCCUUUAAAAUAAUUAGUGAUGACCUUAUGAAUGGGUUAAUACUGUGUGUUAUAAUGGAUUACAUCCAUCACCAGUCAGAGAGUAAUCUCGCCUUAGUAAUUUGUAGUGAUUGCUUCUAAUCGCCUUUAUUGGCAAAUUA